GAUGAACGCUGGCGGCGUGCCUAAUACAUGCAAGUCGAGCGAACAGACGAGGAGCUUGCUCCUCUGACGUUAGCGGCGGACGGGUGAGUAACACGUGGAUAACCUACCUAUAAGACUGGGAUAACUUCGGGAAACCGGAGCUAAUACCGGAUAAUAUAUUGAACCGCAUGGUUCAAUAGUGACAGACGGUUUUGCUGUCACUUAUCGAUGGAUCCGCGCCGCAUUAGCUAGUUGGUAAGGUAACGGCUUACCAAGGCGACGAUGCGUAGCCGACCUGAGAGGGUGAUCGGCCACACUGGAACUGAGACACGGUCCAGACUCCUACGGGAGGCAGCAGUAGGGAAUCUUCCGCAAUGGGCGAAAGCCUGACGGAGCAACGCCGCGUGAGUGAUGAAGGUCUUCGGAUCGUAAAACUCUGUUAUUAGGGAAGAACAAAUGUGUAAGUAACUAUGCACGUCUUGACGGUACCUAAUCAGAAAGCCACGGCUAACUACGUG
rnacentral:rRNA from 1 species